rnacentral:rRNA from 1 species
AACCUCCGCAAUGUGAGAAAUCGCGACGGGGGGAUCCCAAGUGCCAUUCUUAACGGGAUGGCUUUUCAUUAGUGUAAAGAGCUUUUGGAAUAAGAGCUGGGCAAGACCGGUGCCAGCCGCCGCGGUAACACCGGCAGCUCUAGUGGUAGCAAUUUUUAUUGGGCCUAAAGCGUCCGUAGCCGGUUUAAUAAGUCUCUGGUGAAAUCCUGCAGCUUAACUGUGGGAAUUGCUGGAGAUACUAUUAGACUUGAGAUCGGGAGAGGUUAGAGGUACUCCCAGGGUAGAGGUGAAAUUCUGUAAUCCUGGGAGGACCGCCCGUUGCGAAGGCGUCUAACUGGAACGAUUCUGACGGUGAGGGACGAAAGUUAGGGGCGCGAACCGGAUUAGAUACCCGGGUAGUCCUAACUGUAAACGAUGCGGACUUGGUGUUGGGGUGGUUUUGAGCUGCUCCAGUGCCGAAGGGAAGCUGUUAAGUCCGCCGCCUGGGAGUACGGUCGCAAGACUGAAACUUAAAGGAAUU